rnacentral:rRNA from 1 species
AUUGAACGCUGGCGGCAGGCCUAACACAUGCAAGUCGAGCGGAUGAAGGGAGCUUGCUCCUGGAUUCCGCGGCGGACGGGUGUGUAAUGCCUAGGAAUCUGCCUCGUUGUGGUGUAUAACGUCCUGAAACGGGCGCUACUACCGCAUACUUCCUGAUGGUGCAAGUGGGGGAUCUUCGGACCUCACGCUCUCAUGUGAGCCUAGGUCGGAUUAGCUAGUUGGUUGGGUGAGGGCCUACCUAGCCGACGAUCCGUAACUGGCCUGCGAGGAUGAUCAGUCACACUAGAACUGAGACACGGUCAAGACUACUAAGGGAGGCAGCAGUGGGGAAUAUUGGACAAUGGGCGAAAGCAUGAUCCAGCCAGGCCGCGUGUGUGAAGAAGGUCUUCGGAUUGUAAAGAACGUUAAGUGGGGAGGAAGGGCAGUAAGUUAAUACCUUGCUGUUUUGACGGUACCAACAGAAUAAGCACCGGCUAACUUCGUG